rnacentral:tmRNA from 1 species
GGGGAUGAACUGAUUCGACAAGAUCGCUCAUUAACAAACUGCAAGCCGGCUUUGAUACCAGCCGUAAAACAGAUCAAAACAAUAAGUGCUAAACUUACAGCACGAGUUGUCCGACCAGCAGUUGAUGCUUUCGGACAAAUUGCAGGUGUUUUUGCACCUAUGCAAGAUGCAAGUCAACUUGCAUAUGCAACAUACGGGGCAAACUAAUGCAAUUGUCUAUGCUUUCCUCUUGAAGCGGGUAGUAUAGGCAAAAACACAGCUUCAAACCGACCGUGUGGGAUGGUUUGACACACGAGAGGAUUUCCAAACCUUGGUAUUUUGUUUCCUGUCAGCUGGUUACACAAAAUACGACAACUAUUAACUGACUACGCUUGUAGGUGUUUAUUAAUUAGUUUCUUGGACUCCAGCUCAUUACUGGACAUCUCCACAU